rnacentral:rRNA from 1 species
GAUGAACGCUGGCGGCGUGCCUAAUACAUGCAAGUCGAGCGAACUGGUUAGAAGCUUGCUUCUAUGACGUUAGCGGCGGACGGGUGAGUAACACGUGGCAACCUGCCUGUAAGACUGGGAUAACUUCGGGAAACCGAAGCUAAUACCGGAUAGGAUCUUCUCCUUCAUGGGAGAUGAUUGAAAGAUGGUUUCGGCUAUCACUUACAGAUGGGCCCGCGGUGCAUUAGCUAGUUGGUGAGGUAACGGCUCACCAAGGCAACGAUGCAUAGCCGACCUGAGAGGGUGAUCGGCCACACUGGGACUGAGACACGGCCCAGACUCCUACGGGAGGCAGCAGUAGGGAAUCUUCCGCAAUGGACGAAAGUCUGACGGAGCAACGCCGCGUGAGUGAUGAAGGCUUUCGGGUCGUAAAACUCUGUUGUUAGGGAAGAACAAGUACAAGAGUAACUGCUUGUACCUUGACGGUACCUAACCAGAAAGCCACGGCUAACUACGUGCCAGCCGCCGCCGUAAGAC